AUGAACGCUGGCGGCGUGCCUAAUACAUGCAAGUCGCGCGAACAGACGAGGAGCUUGCUCCUCUGACGUUAGCGGCGGCCGGGUGAGUAACACGUGGAUAACCUACCUAUAAGACUGGGAUAACUUCGGGAAACCGGAGCUAAUACCGGAUAAUAUAUUGAACCGCCUGGUUCAAUAGUGAAAGACGGUUUUGCUGUCACUUAUAGAUGGAUCCGCGCCGCAUUAGCUAGUUGGUAAGGUAACGGCUUACCAAGGCAACGAUGCGUAGCCGACCUGAGAGGGUGAUCGGCCACACUGGAACUGAGACACGGUCCAGACUCCUACGGGAGGCAGCAGUAGGGAAUCUUCCGCAAUGGGCGAAAGCCUGACGGAGCAACGCCGCGUGAGUGAUGAAGGUCUUCGGAUCGUAAAACUCUGUUAUUAGGGAAGAACAAAUGUGUAAGUAACUAUGCACGUCUUGACGGUACCUAAUCAGAAAGCCACGGCUAACUACGUG
rnacentral:rRNA from 1 species